rnacentral:rRNA from 1 species
AGUGAACGCUGGCGGUAGGCCUAACACAUGCAAGUCGAACGGCAGCACAGUAAGAGCUUGCUCUUACGGGUGGCGAGUGGCGGACGGGUGAGGAAUACAUCGGAAUCUACUUUUUCGUGGGGGAUAACGUAGGGAAACUUACGCUAAUACCGCAUACGACCUACGGGUGAAAGCAGGGGAUCUUCGGACCUUGCGCGAUUGAAUGAGCCGAUGUCGGAUUAGCUAGUUGGCGGGGUAAAGGCCCACCAAGGCGACGAUCCGUAGCUGGUCUGAGAGGAUGAUCAGCCACACUGGAACUGAGACACGGUCCAGACUCCUACGGGAGGCAGCAGUGGAGAAUAUUGGACAAUGGGCGCAAGCAUGAUCCAGCCAUACCGCGUGGGUGAAGAAGGCCUUCGGGUUGUAAAGCCCUUUUGUUGGGAAAGAAAAGCAGCAGGUUAAUACCCCGCUGUUCUGACGGUACCCAAAGAAUAAGCACCGGCUAACUUCGUG